GCAUUGGUUGUUCAGUGGUAGAAAUUCUCGCCUAGCACGCGGGAGGCCCGGGUUCGAUUCCCGGCCAAUGCA